CGCUAGCUACAGGCUUAACACGUGCAAGUCGAGGGGCAGCAUGGUCUUAGCUUGCUAAGGCCGAUGGCGACCGGCGCACGGGUGAGUAACACGUAUCCAACCUGCCGUCUACUCUUGGACAGCCUUCUGAAAGGAAGAUUAAUACAAGAUGGCAUCAUGAGUCCGCAUGUUCACAUGAUUAAAGGUAUUCCGGUAGACGAUGGGGAUGCGUUCCAUUAGAUAGUAGGCGGGGUAACGGCCCACCUAGUCUUCGAUGGAUAGGGGUUCUGAGAGGAAGGUCCCCCACAUUGGAACUGAGACACGGUCCAAACUCCUACGGGAGGCAGCAGUGAGGAAUAUUGGUCAAUGGGCGAGAGCCUGAACCAGCCAAGUAGCGUGAAGGAUGACUGCCCUAUGGGUUGUAAACUUCUUUUAUAAAGGAAUAAAGUCGGGUAUGCAUACCCGUUUGCAUGUACUUUAUGAAUAAGGAUCGGCUAACUCCGUGCCAGCAGCCGCGGUAAUACGGAGGAUCCGAGCGUUAUCCGGAUUUAUUGGGUUUAAAGGGAGCGUAGAUGGAUGUUUAAGUCAGUUGUGAAAGUUUGCGGCUCAACCGUAAAAUUGCAGUUGAUACUGGAUAUCUUGAGUGCAGUUGAGGCAGGCGGAAUUCGUGGUGUAGCGGUGAAAUGCUUAGAUAUCACGAAGAACUCCGAUUGCGAAGGCAGCCUGCUAAGCUGCAACUGACAUUGAGGCUCGAAAGUGUGGGUAUCAAACAGGAUUAGAUACCCUGGUAGUCCACACGGUAAACGAUGAAUACUCGCUGUUUGCGAUAUACGGCAAGCGGCCAAGCGAAAGCGUUAAGUAUUCCACCUGGGGAGUACGCCGGCAACGGUGAAACUCAAAGGAAUUGACGGGGGCCCGCACAAGCGGAGGAACAUGUGGUUUAAUUCGAUGAUACGCGAGGAACCUUACCCGGGCUUAAAUUGCAGAUGAAUUACGGUGAAAGCCGUAAGCCGCAAGGCAUCUGUGAAGGUGCUGCAUGGUUGUCGUCAGCUCGUGCCGUGAGGUGUCGGCUUAAGUGCCAUAACGAGCGCAACCCUUGUUGUCAGUUACUAACAGGUUCCGCUGGGGACUCUGACAAGACUGCCAUCGUAAGAUGUGAGGAAGGUGGGGAUGACGUCAAAUCAGCACGGCCCUUACGUCCGGGGCUACACACGUGUUACAAUGGGGGGUACAGAGGGCCGCUACCACGCGAGUGGAUGCCAAUCCCAAAAACCUCUCUCAGUUCGGACUGGAGUCUGCAACCCGACUCCACGAAGCUGGAUUCGCUAGUAAUCGCGCAUCAGCCACGGCGCGGUGAAUACGUUCCCGGGCCUUGUACACACCGCCCGUCAAGCCAUGGGAGCCGGGGGUACCUGAAGUGCGUAACCGCGAGGAGCGCCCUAGGGUAAAACUGGUGACUGGGGCUAAG
rnacentral:rRNA from 1 species